GAAGAAAGUAUGUAUUUGACAAAAACAGCAAAUAGUUGCUGGUAUUAAAACAGCUUUCUAAAUGGCUGCAUUAGCCUUCUGAUACUUUCUUUUCUUCCAUUUUUUUCUCUCUUGCAGUAGCCUGUUGACUGUUUACAUUGUGGAAGCUUAACACUGUCAUCAUUGUUAUAACAACAAAGACAAAACUAAAAGUUACAUAUGAAAACCAGAUCUUAUGUAGUUUCUAUUAUGAUCUGGCUGAUCCAUCUGAAUACAAUUCCUACCUUAAACCUGCAGUUUGAGAAAUUUGCACUAUGAAACCGAGACUGCUAUAAUCACUCUUUCUAUAAAUCUACAUUAUGGGUGCAUAUAUAAACUUCAUGAUAGUUUACAGUUUUGUAGAGUGGGUGUGAUUCCAUACUUUUUUUAAUUUAUUAUUAUUGACUGAAAGCAGCAUUCAGUUCUGCUCGGCUGGAAGACACCUUUGCAGAAAAGAGCAACUGCAUUAGUAACUGUGAUUCCUGACAUGUUCAAGAUUAAAACUGAACUUGUUAAGAUUGUAAUGAAACAGUUUUUAUUGCAUUCUUGCAUUUCAUGAAAGAAAACCAUUGUUGUCAUCUUCACUGUUACUCUGUUACUUUAAAUAAAAUGUCUUGAGUCACCAUA